AAUUUUCAGCGAUGGAUGUCUUGGCUCUCGCAUCGAUGAAGA
rnacentral:rRNA from 1 species